rnacentral:rRNA from 1 species
UACGUAGGGUGCAAGCGUUAUCCGGAUUCACUGGGUUUAAAGGGUGCGUAGGCGGGUAGGUAAGUCAGUGGUGAAAUCUCCGGGCUCAACUCGGAAACUGCCGUUGAUACUAUCUGUCUUGAAUGCCGUAGGAGGUGAGCGGAAUAUGUCAUGUAGCGGUGAAAUGCUUAGAUAUGACAUAGAACACCAAUUGCGAAGGCAGCUCACUGCACGAACAUUGACUCUGAGACACGAAAGCGUGGGGAGCAAACAGG